rnacentral:piRNA from 1 species
UGAGUAAGCAAGAAUGGGCACCGGUGU